rnacentral:snRNA from 1 species
GGACAGUCUGACUGCGAUUUCUAUCAUCUCAUUGAUUGCCAGAGUUGAUUUAACUGAUCUGGCUGGCUAAGUGGGUGUCCCUCCCAAAGUUGCGCACUUGGUCAAAGAGGACAACCUUCCCUGAUAGAGGAGGACCAUGCUUCUGUCAAGGGGUGUACGGAUAGCAGCUAGAACCUCCACCAAGCUCAUAACUAAUUAUUUAUGUCUAUUAUUGAUGUCUAUUAU